GACCUGAGUUCAACCCCCAGGAUCUCCAUGUUGAAGAGAGCUGCAGACUGUUCUUUGCCUGUGACACAGCAAAUGCAAGCCAACACUUGCAAGUGGAUAAAAUGCAAUUUAAAUAAAGUUAAAUAAAAUAGUGUUGUAGAACAAUCAGGCUUGGUAGGGAACAUGCUACCAUGAGUGAGACCCUGGGCACCAACCCCCACUGCCAAGUAACACUGACAUCUGUUGUAUUUUGUUUAUGCCUUGAUAUUUAAUCGAAUACCACCUGUUUCCCUCAUCUUGGUGGAUUGCUUACUGAGACCAGGGUUCACAUAGCCUGGAUUUUUUUUGUUUGUUUGUUUGCCUUUGUCUUGUUUGUUUUGGGUUAGGGUCUCACUGUGUAGCUUUGUCUGGAUUAGAACUGAAUGUGGAUGAGGCUGGUCUUGAACUCCCAGAUAUCCACCUGCCUCUCUGCUCCCCAAUGCUGGGAUGGCAGGCCUAAGCUCUUGUGCAGAUAGAUCAGGUAUAGUAGAUGGGAAGAGCAGUCUCAUAGUUAUUUGGGGCCUGGUAGACAGUGCCCUAAGUGCCCAUUUCUUCUUUCUUUUUUUUUAUUUAAGUUUUAUUCAUAUUAUAAUUGUGGGCAUGCAAAUGCACCAGCCUGCAUACACAAGUAAGAAGACAACUUUCAGGAGUCCAGGCUCUACCGUGUUUGUUCUUAAGACUAAACUUAGGUCCUGAGGCUUGGUAGCAAGGCUUUACCCACAGAGCUAUCCAGUUGGCCUUUUUCUUUUAUCUCUUCAACUUUUUUUUUUUUUUUAGAUUUAUUUAUUACAUGUAAGUACACUGUAGCUGUCUUCAGACACACCAGAAGAGGGCGUCAGAUGUCGUUACAGAUGGUUGUGAGCCACCAUGUGGUUGCUGGGAUUUGAACUCUGGACCUUCGGAAGAGCAGUCGGGUGCUCUUACCCGCUGAGCCAUCUCACCAGCCCCAUCAACUUUUUGAGAUAGUGUCUCAUUAUGUAGUCCAGACUGGUCUCCUCCUGGCCAGGAGCCUUGUGUCUCUGCCCUCCCUUGGGCUGGGAUUACUAAGGUAGAAGACUCCCAGUUGCCUGCUGUCCCCUAACCAAAUGUUCCUUUCCACUCAACAGGCAGUGAUGGCUUCCAAGCGCAUCACCCAGGAAACCUUUGAUGCUGCAGUGCGGGAGAACAUUGAGGAGUUUGAGAUGGGCACUGAGGAGGCCAUUCGAGAGGCUGUGGAGCAGUUUGAAUCACAAGGUAGGGCAGUGACUUCAGUACUGGCUCUUAGAGGCCACAGCCCUCAGCCUAACACAGUAGUGACGUGCUGUUGACCUCGCCCCUGCUGCCUGUCUCCAUCUUGUCACCAGCAUCCCAUUUCACCUCAAAAUAAAAAAGGCAUGGCAGUCCUCAGCCACAACGCCACAUGGCAUAUGCCGUGUCCAGGAGUCAGUCAUGAAAGUCAUGGAGGACCGUGGGUGGUAGGGCUGCUGAGAGGUGGUGGUGGCAAUGGCAGGGUUUGGAGACCUUGAGCCACUUGGCAGGAGCAGAGGCUCAGGAUGAGUGAGCACACGUGCAGCAGGCCCUUAGAGACAAGGCGCUCAGCAUCGGCAAGCCCAUUCCCGUCUAUGCCUCACUCUGAAUGUGGGCCCAGUGAAGCCAGCCAGAAGGGAAGAAAGACAAGGCCCUGCCUCUAGGACACACAAAUAAAUGCGUGCCCUAGAGGACAAUCAGGUAACACUGGGAACGUGACUGGAGAGGUAACUCACUUGCUAAAAUACUUGCUGAGUUUGCCUUGAGUUUGAUCCAAAACCCACGUAAAAAGCAAGCCAUAAAGAGGUGUAUUUGAGUUUUUGGGGGUGUGCAUGUCUUUUUUGUGGUUUUUCAAGACAGGGUUUCUCUGUGUGGCUCUGGCUAUUCUGGAAUUUUCUCUGUAGACCAGGUAGGCCUGGAACUCCUAGAGAUCCACUUGCCUCUGCCUACUGAGUGCUGGGCUCAAAGCUGUGCUCCCCUACCAUCAGGCAUCUUAGGAUGUCUGUUGCUGUGGUGAUCAUCACGAGCAGGAAGCAGCUGGGAAGGACAGGGUUUAUCCGGCUUACACGUCCACGCUGCAGUCCGUCACUGAGAGAAGUCAGGACAGGAGCUCAAGCCUAUGAUUCCCAACUCUUCUUUAUCUUUGUUACUGGGUUUUGUUUAUUUAUUUGUUUCAAGACUGGAUCAUAUAGCCUAGGCUAACCUCUUAGCUCAUUAUGUAGCUAACUAGUAUCAGAUAUGCUGGUCUUUCUGCCUCUGUUUCCUACUGUGGGGAAAUAAGUGCUCAUCAACACUGCCUGCUGAGCCAGGACUUGGGAAGCUGAGGUAGGAGGGUUACUGUGAAUUUUAGGUCAUUCUGGGCUUCAUAACAAGACUACCUGAAAAAACACCUUAACCACACUCUCGUUACCCCAGAAUUUGGGAGAUGUAAGAAGGUAGAGCUCUAUAAGUUUGAGGUAGCCUGGGCUACAUAGUGAGUUCAAGGCCAGCGUGGGCUACAUUGAUUCUGUCUCAAAAACAAAACAAAAUAAAACAAAAAACAAAACAAAAUUCUCCUAAGUCACACAUACACACGCAUGCAUGCAUGCAUGAAAUACUUAUCACAGAGAGGAUGUCUUUGAGGCCUCAGGAGGCAGGAUCUAAAAGGGACCGGUAGGGCUGUGAGUUCCAAGAGAAAGGCUCCAUGGGGUCCCCUUCCCAUCUUUCUGCAGGUAAGAGCUGCAACUUCACUAUUCAGAGACAGCAUCUGUGGCAUGGCCUUGCUUGUAGCUUGUGGCUGGGUAAUACUGGGAAGAACCCUGGAAGGAAGGCCCCCAGCAGGGACCUCCUGCCUGGGGGACUUGAGGAAGG
rnacentral:lncRNA from 1 species